UUGGUUCAGGACGAACGCUGGCGGCGUGCUUAACACAUGCAAGUCGAACGGAAAGGCCCUUCGGGGUACUCGAGUGGCGAACGGGUGAGUAACACGUGGGUGAUCUGCCCUGCACUUUGGGAUAAGCCUGGGAAACUGGGUCUAAUACCGAAUAUGAUCAUCGGCUUCAUGGUCGGUGGUGGAAAGCUUUUGCGGUGUGGGAUGGGCCCGCGGCCUAUCAGCUUGUUGGUGGGGUAAUGGCCUACCAAGGCGACGACGGGUAGCCGGCCUGAGAGGGUGACCGGCCACACUGGGACUGAGAUACGGCCCAGACUCCUACGGGAGGCAGCAGUGGGGAAUAUUGCACAAUGGGCGCAAGCCUGAUGCAGCGACGCCGCGUGAGGGAUGACGGCCUUCGGGUUGUAAACCUCUUUCAGCACAGACGAAGCGCAAGUGACGGUAUGUGCAGAAGAAGGACCGGCCAACUACGUGCCAGCAGCCGCGGUAAUACGUAGGGUCCGAGCGUUGUCCGGA
rnacentral:rRNA from 1 species